rnacentral:lncRNA from 1 species
UCUUGUCAAGUAAUCUUAUUUAAGGUAGUUUGACUGACAGCUUAAGGUAGUUUGACUGGCAGUUAUCUACAUGACAUACAAAUGACCUCUGUUUAUGCAAAAUAUCAAGAGUAAAAUAUUUUUAAAAUGUUCUAAUCCAUGGAGGACCUAGACCAAAGUGCUUGUAUGUUAAUAAACAAAAAGAAAAGUUAUAUUUGUAUUUGAGGAGGAAGGGAACCACGGAGAGUCUCAAACCACCAAGAUUAAAAGGUGUGAUUGAGGCUCACUUUUGAUAGAGCUUAUCAGGAGCUCCCCCUUUGUCG